rnacentral:rRNA from 1 species
UUCUGGAUGUAAAUUGACCAGAGUACUAUGAAUGUGAAAAAUUUAAAACUCAAAGAACUUGGCGGUGUUUUAGACCACUUAGGGGAACCUGUCUCAUAAUCGAUAAUCCACGUUAUACCUGACCUUUUUUUGUUAUCAGUUUGUAUACCGUUGUCGUCAGGUAACUUUUUAGAAUUUAGAAGUUAGCAACUAAGAAAAUAAUUCGUUACGUCAAAUCAAGGUGCAGCUAAUAGAAAGGGGAGGAUGGGUUACAAUUAUAAAUUAUAAUAACGGAAGGUGGACUUAAAAGUAAAUUAAACAUAAGCAAUUUGAAUAAGGCUCUGAAACGCGU